GAAGGGUGAUGGAGGAACCUUUGAUGUCUUAUUUUCUUUCAAGUAAAUUCUGAACAAUUGAUCUCUUUGAUUUACAUCUAUUCAUAUAUUUUUGAUUCUUGCAUGUUUAUUUAUGAGAUAGAUCUUUUAUGGUUUAUAUUUCUUGAUUCAUGGAUUGUUUCGAUGUUUGAUUUGUCGUAGACGUAAUCGGCACGAUAAAUGCUUAGAUCUUGAAUUCAUGUUUUCAAAUUGUAUACUCCAUGAUUAGAACUAUUCUAUCCGAUUGAUCCUUAAUCAAGAAUCGCAGAAU
rnacentral:lncRNA from 1 species